rnacentral:rRNA from 1 species
GCCGUUCUCAGUUCGGAUCGGAGUCUGCAACCCGACUCCGUGAAGCUGGAUUCGCUAGUAAUCGCGCAUCAGCCAUGGCGCGGUGAAUACGUUCCCGGGCCUUGUACACACCGCCCGUCAAGCCAUGGGAGCCGGGGGUGCUUGAAGUGCGUCGCCGUGAGGCGCGCCCUAGAGCAAAACCGGUGACUGGGGCUAAGUCGUAACAAGGUACC